CAGGUUUCCAACAACUGAGCUCCCAGAGUGAGCAAUUCCUGUCCCUUUUAAGGGCUCACACCUCUAAGGGGGUCCGCGUGAGAGGAUCGUGGUUGAUUGAGCAAGCAGGGGCAGCCACAGGAAAUUAAUAUAACUGCGAAGGAAAAGAUUUCCCCUGCUCGAGUCUCCCUGCACUCCUACCCAUCUGAGAGAAACAGAACUGUUGAGUAGCUGAUGCAAUUUCAUCCAUAAUAUUGUGGAUUCACCAUUGAUUCAGCAUCUGAUCCUCAGCACUGUAUAUCUAAGAACUCAUUCUCCUUGGUUCAUCAGGCAUGAUCAGAUUAAGGAUUCAUACACACUGACCUAACUCACAGGAGAGAGUUAUAAAUCAGAACACCAAUUUAUUGCCUUGUUCAUGGAAAUAGAAACACUACAUGUGUCAGCUUACUCAGAUCAGCAGCUAAACACUGUUCAGUGUUGAUUGGGAAAUAUAAAGCCAGAAUGAAGGCAGCUGGUUCAUCUUGAUAGCAAAUGUUACCAAAUCUCAUAGUCUGGUGCCCUAAUCUCCAUGGGAUUAGAACAUGUACAUCGACCAGAGAGGUUCUCUUUCUCCUGACUAUGCUGGGACAUUCUGGCAAAUUCUGACUCAUCACUCCCUUUCUAGAAUCCUUAAAGACCAUCAUCACGCUAUUUCAAGAAUAUUCCUUCAGAUGUGUUACAAAGAUUAAAUGUUGAUUUAUGGUAUCUCUAAAGAUUUGGAUUGUAGUCUCAUCAGAAAUAUUUAUUUAUAAGCCAUCUCUUCAUUCACUCGUUGAUUCAUCCAGAAAUGCUAUUCAGUAUUUAUUAAGUGCCAGGCGUUGUGCUAAGAUUUGAGACACAGAGAUAAGAUAAAGGUCCCAUUCUCCAAGACUCUUGUUUUUUUAGUGGAUUAAAAGCUGCUAAUGUAUUCCUUCUGUAGAUAUACAUAAUUUCACCAAUUUCUUGUGACUUCAUGAACCUUAUUUUUGCAAGACAACAUGUCCUAAUUCUUGUCAAAUUUAGGGAUGGUGGUAUUGGGGAGCUACAAACCAGUCAAAUCAAUUCAAUGAAAAAUCCUAUUAUUUGAACAAUUUUAAUCACAUCUGAUUUUGACUAUUUUAUCUAAGUGUUAACAUUUCACUAGUUGAGUGUUACAAUGAGCCUAGCAUUUAAACAGUCUUAGUUAUGUUAACAUUCUUAAAAACAGAGAAGUGGCAGCCAGGCACGGUGGCUCAUGCCUGUAAUCCCAGCACUUUGGGAGGCCGAGGCGGGCGGACGCCUGAGGUCAGGAGUUCAAGACCAGCCUGACCAACACGGAGAAACCUCGUCUCUACUAAAAAUACAAAAUUA
rnacentral:lncRNA from 1 species